ACGAGCUGAGUAAUGUCGGAAGGAGUCGGGUUCCAAAGACUCUCCAUGGACUACAGGAAUGGGCUCCUUCCCUUCCACUUUCUUUGCACUCCCGGAAAAGUUUGAAGAAUAAAAAUACCCAGGAGGACCAGAGAGAAGGCAGACUCAUAAAAUGUUGUUUUCAUCAGCACCUGUGUCGCUGCCAGGUUGAUUUGGACAGCAUCCAGGGUCUCGGAAUCUGUGGAUUCAGGAAUUUUGUUUUGUUUUUGAUUUUUUUUUAAAUAAAUUCAAGUCUUUCUGUA